UCCCACAGACAGGAACCAAAGCCAGCAGAACAAAGCAGCCCCAGAUGUGUUCUACUCUAUUAUCUGAAGUAAAUGAAAAUCAACCCUGAGUGAACAUCAGGAAUGUGUAGACGGAAGCAGUUCAUCCUGGGAGGUGAGAAUGAGCAUUGAAAGAGCCAUCCGUGAAACCGUAAGGCUGGGAAAGAGAAGUGAAGGGGCACAUGGAAGUGUUCAUCUCUGGGGCAGGGAAAAACAAUCCGGAGAAGAUGAGUCACACCUCAUUUG
rnacentral:lncRNA from 1 species